rnacentral:rRNA from 1 species
AUUGAACGCUGGCGGCAUGCUUUACACAUGCAAGUCGAACGGUAACAGGGAGCUUGCUCCGCUGACGAGUGGCGAACGGGUGAGUAAUGCGUCGGAACGUGCCGAGUAGUGGGGGAUAACGCAGCGGAAGUUGUGCUAAUACCGCAUACGUACUGAGGUAGAAAGUGGGGGACCUUCGGGCCUCACGCUAUUCGAGCGGCCGACGUCUGAUUAGCUAGUAGGUGAGGUAAAGGCUCACCUAGGCGACGAUCAGUAGCGGGUCUGAGAGGAUGAUCCGCCACACUGGGACUGAGACACGGCCCAGACUCCUACGGGAGGCAGCAGUGGGGAAUUUUGGACAAUGGGCGAAAGCCUGAUCCAGCCAUGCCGCGUGUCUGAAGAAGGCCUUCGGGUUGUAAAGGACUUUUGUCGGGGAGGAAAUCCCCAGCGCUAAUACCGCUGGGGGAUGACAGUACCUGAAAAAUAAGCACCGGCUAACUACGUGCCAGCAGCCGCGGUAAAAC